UACGGAGGGGGCUAGCGUUGUUCGGAAUUACUGGGCGUAAAGCGCACGUAGGCGGCUUUGUAAGUUAGAGGUGAAAGCCCAGGGCUUAACCUGGGAAUGGCAUUUGAUACUCAAGGGCUCGAGUACGGGAGAGGAGAGUGGAAUUCCCAGUGUAGAGGUGAAAUUCGUAGAUAUUGGGAAGAACACCGGUGGCGAAGGCGGCUCUCUGGACCGUAACUGACGCUGAGGCGCGAAAGCGUGGGGAGCAAACAGG
rnacentral:rRNA from 1 species